CCAGUCGUGACAUACUGGUUAGGGCUUCAGGCUUGUAUCCAGAGGGUUGCCGGUUCGAUCCCCGACCAGUAGGA
rnacentral:tRNA from 1 species